CGGGGAAUUUUGCGCAAUGGGCGAAAGCCUGACGCAGCGACGCCGCGUGGGUGAUGAAGGCCUUCGGGUUGUAAAGCCCCGUGGGGAGGGAAGAAUAAGGGGCGGCUAAUACCCGCACCGAUGACGGUACCUCCUUAGCAAGCACCGGCUAACUCUGUGCCAGCAGCCGCGGUAAGACAGAGGGUGCAAACGUUGUUCGGAAUUACUGGGCGUAAAGCGCGUGUAGGCGGUCUAGCAAGUCGGAUGUGAAAGCCCUUGGCUCAACUGAGGAAGUGCAUUCGAAACUGCGAGACUUGAGUCCCGGAGAGGAUGGUGGAAUUCUCGGUGUAGAGGUGAAAUUCGUAGAUAUCGAGAGGAACACCGGUGGCGAAGGCGGCCAUCUGGACGGUGACUGACGCUGAGACGCGAAAGCAUGGGGAGCAAACAG
rnacentral:rRNA from 1 species